rnacentral:rRNA from 1 species
UGGGGAAUAUUGCACAAUGGGGGAAACCCUGACGCAGCGACGCCGCGUGAGCGAAGAAGGCUUUCGAGUCGUAAAGCCCUGUCCUAUGAGAAGAUAAUGACGGUAUCAUAGGAGGAAGCCCUGGCUAAAUACGUGCCAGCAGCCGCGGUAAUACGUAUGGGGCGAGCGUUGUCCGGAAUUAUUGGGCGUAAAGGGUACGUAGGCGGUUUUUUAAGUCAGGUGUCAAAGCGUGGAGCUUAACUCCAUUAAGCACUUGAAAUUGAAAGACUUGAGUGAAGGAGAGGAAAGUGGAAUUCCUAGUGUAGCGGUGAAAUGCGUAGAUAUUAGGAGGGAUACCGGUGGCGAAGGCGACUUUCUGGGCUUUUACUGACGCUCAGGUACGAAAGCGUGGGGAGCAAACAGG